rnacentral:piRNA from 1 species
UUCGUGCUAUAUGAUGCCAAGGCUC